UUGCAGUGAUGACUUGAAUUUCUUCACCUGAACAUUGUGUUGAACUCAUCUUUUAAACUGAGCAAG